GAUUGCAAAACUGGUUUAUUCAAUCCACAGAGCGAGAAAACACCUUUAAAAACGGGGAUUCUAGAAGAUGAUACGGGACCUUGCUGUCAGCUACGGCACGUGGUGCAACAAAACAGAUCUUCAGGCCCCUCAGGCUGGGUGGAGGCACAGCUCUGGAGCUGCUUGGAGACCCUCAGAUCCCCCAAAGCUGUUUGAAGUCCUCCUCUGUCUGCAUACAGACUGCUUUUUGUCUCAGAAGAUGUCAGGUUCAAACUGAGCCUGCCACCUUCGGUUCUGGGCACAGCAGCCCAAAUUUGCUCAACAGGAACAUCUUUUGGGAAGGCACCUUGACAAUGCCUCCUGGUGAAACUCCAGCUACAACAGCUUUAACAUCUACAACCAAAGUCAGUGUUCAGACGAGUGUUAAUCCACAGCUCCCCAUGGAAGGGGCCAGCUUCACUCCAAAGCUCUCCAAGUGUCCUGGUGCUGCCCCACAGAAGAGGCAGGGGAUCCCUCCUGGAACUGCAGAGCAAAGCCAGGGGAGCAGUCUGCCUUGGGACCCCUUCACUGCCACCCCCUGAGCUGCUUUCAGGGGUAACUAGCCCACAGUGUGGGCUGGUUUGCCCUACCAGGGGCCUCUCCAGGGCCAGUGCAGCCCAGCUCUGGAAUUCCCACCACGAGGAAGAAACUCCAGCUUGUGCAGACAGUGCUGCCAGCCCUUUGCAGCAUCUUCUCCCUGCUGCAGGCAUGGAGGGAAGCAGAGCAGGGCUGGCAUUUCCCUGGCCUGGCAGGGAAGUGGAGCAGCUCUGGGUGACUGCAGUAACGAGGUUCUGCAGUCCAUAACUUUUCACUGUGCAUUUCCUCCCCCAGGAGUCACAGGCUGCUUUAUUGAAAUCACACACAAACAGGUCUCAGUGCGUUUCUUGGCCGUAGAUAUCAGGAAGAAAACCCUCAGAUAACUGUGAAAUGCUCUGGUGGAACCUGCAGAAAAGUGGGCUUUAUCCUGGCUGUGGGACCAGCUGGAGGGUUGAUUUCAGAGGAAUCCUUUAACUCCUCAGCUGCAGAAGAGGAACUCUCACCUGCUCUGUGCUCCUGUCGUGCCAGCGUGGGCUGAGCUGCUCCUGGCACCCUGCUCCCCUCUGCCCGGGCACUCCAGCUCCAGUGGCAGCCAGGACGAGACCUUUACCAGCACCCUGAUCCACAAAACCCUUAUUUUCAUUGUUGGUACGGCUGCAGCCCGUUGACAGAAAUCCCCUAACGCCUGAGGUUGUAAAAAAGGAAUAAUAAAAACAUUUAGCGUAACAAAAAAAAGGCGCUUUGAUGGCGCGUGCCAAGCUGUGACCCGUCACAAACACCAGCACUGCUCCUGCUCCCUCCAACCUUGGGGCCCUCUGCACACUCCCUGGGUCCUGACACCCCCUCAGCUCCCCCUUGCCAGGGGAAUCCUCAGCCAAGCCCUCCCCUGCUCUCACAGGCACCUCAGCUGCGAGGCAGAACUGCACUGGAUGAGGCAGAAGAUGCUCUGCCAGCACCUCGUGCUCUGCACCCUCUGCCCGUGUGAUGCUCUCAUCACUUCAUCGUCACUUCAUCCAAGCUCACUGUUUUUAAGUUGCUGCUCUGCAAAUUAGAUUUGAUCUGCAGUUGUGUCUCCUCUUGGAAUGUUCCAUCAGAGUAUUAUGAAAGUUGGCAUUUUUCUAGGGCAACAAAACCUGCCUUUCAGAAAAUCCCUGAUGAAUAUUUAUGAAAAAAAUAAUAUUUUAAAUUUUAUGACGCCUCUGGAUGGCAGGACAGCUGUAUUGGCAGCCUAACAUGUUUUUUAGAGUUAGAAAUAUAUGGCCAUCUGUUCAGCUCAUAACAUGUGUUAACAGGUAUCUCAAAUUUCAAUUCAAGAAAUAAACAUUUUAAUAAAUAACGUAACAGCAAGAAGCCUGGGUUAACUGAUGGACACCUAGCUGUAGUAGCACCAGCAGCAGCAGCAGCAGCAGUAGUAGUAGUAGGAGUAGUAGUAGUAGUAGUAGUAGUAGUACUCAUUACAGAAAUAUUCAGGUACAAAUUAAAUGGUUAAAUGGGACCUUUAGCUAAAAAGCAUUAAAAAGCUGCAUUUCCUGGAAGCUUGUGACUGAGACUAAAAAAAAAAGACCUGGCAAAAAGAUUUCCAGUUUGUGUUGACAUUUGGAUACAUUUUAGAGCGAUGAGAGGCCUUUAGUAACCAUUUACUCACCGGAGCGUCAUAAACUCCUCCCGUGGUCUUGGUGGGCCAGGGGUGGUCCUUCAGAGAACUUCAGACCCAGCUGGAUUUGGAGUUCAGAGCCCUAACUCUAGAGAAAGAAAAAAAGCCCUUGCAAAAAACAUGAGAUAAGACGAAAUUAAUCUCAAAUUAAUUAAUGAAUUAAUUGUAAUAUGCCCCUGCAGGACAAUAUCCUGCUGAAGCGGUCUCAGAGCAGACACCAGCCAGCUCUGGAUUUGUUCUGGAAGGGGAGUUAGCUCUGGGUGGUUGCACUGGGCAUCCUGGCACAGGUAAACAUGGAAUAAUAAAGCAAAAGUGUGGUUUGGGGUUUUUU